UAGUGCGACGACGGUCAUAGCCAGCACGAAUCCUGUAUCGCAAGGUACUAGGAGUUGUGGUGUAAAGGUUAUGUUUUUAAUGACGUAAUGUAUUUCAAGUUCACUUGAUUGUGAUAUUGUCCAGAGAGGGUGUUAGACCCGUUGGAAUAUGUGAGGUUGUUAUUGAUAUUUCCUAUGAGUCGGAUUGUUUGAGAAUGCAGUCCAAAGUGGGUGGUAAACUCCAUCUAAGGCUAAAUACUUGUGUGAGUCCGAUAGCAAACAAGUACCGUGAGGGAAAGUUGAAAAGAACUCUGAAGAGAGAGUUAAAUAGUACGUGAAAUUGCUCAGAGGUAAACGAGUGGAGCCAAAGAUGUUGUGUUGAAUUCAGUUAGCUGUAUAAUGAGUUUUUUAAUUGCAAAUAUUUUUUUAGUCUUGCAAUUUUUUUUAUGAUUGUUAUACAGUUGAUGCACUUUCUUCACAGCAAGACUGCGACCAAUGAUGUCAUUUUUCUGUCGUAAGAUUGAAGGUGAUCAUGUCUUCGGAUGUGGUUUUAUAGCAACUUACAUGGUUAAAUAAUUUAUUGGUGUUUGCGAUGAGUCAAUUUGGUUGAUUUUUCAUUUCAUUUUUUAUUAGUAGACUUGCAAAAGACUAUUAAUUGUUUUUAGAGUGCAUAUAAUUAAUAAAAGAUUUGUCAAAAGUCGGCAGUGUAUGUAGGUCACCUACUCGUCCCGUCUUGAAACACGGGCCAAGAAUUUUUAUAUGAUCCCAAGUCAAAGGGCUAUACGAAACCCCAGGGCGAAAUUAAUGUAAAGAUUUACUUCGGUAAAUUAUGAUGCGACCUUGGUUGAAUCCCAACCGAGUGCAGCAACGACCCGUCUAAAGAUGUUCGCAUCUGGGCGGAGUUUGAGCGAUCAUGUAGAGACCCGAAAGAUGGUGAACUAUGCUUGUGCAGGUUGAAGUCAUAGGAAACUGUGAUGGAAGACCGCGCUGGUUCUGACGUGCAAAUCGAUCGUCGGACAUGAGUAUAGGGGCGAAAGACUAAUCGAACCAUCUAGUAGCUGGUUCCCUCCGAAGUUUCCCUCAGGAUAGCUGGCAUUUGUGAUCUAGUAUCACCCGGUAAAGCGAAUGAUUAGAAGCAUUGGGGACGAAAUGUCCUCAACUUAUUCUCAAACUUUAAAUGGGUACGAAGUGUAUCUUUCUUUAUUUUGUCAAGAUUAAUAGAUAAAUGCUAGUGGGCCAUUUUUGGUAAGCAGAACUGGCGAUGUGGGAUGAACCAAACAUCCGGUUAAGGUGCCUAACAUUACGCUCAUGAGAAACCACAAAAGUCGUUGGUUGAUUAAGACAGCAGGACGGUGGACAUGGAAGUCGUCAUCCGCUAAGGAAUGUGUAACAACUCACCUGCCGAAUCAACCAGCUCUGAAAAUGGAUGGCGCUGUAGCGUAAGACCUAUACCGGAUCGAUAUCGUAAGUUUAUAAAGCGAGUAAACGAUGUCGUGUAGGAGGGUGCUGUGAUUGCUAAGAAGCAUUAGCGUGAGUUGGUGUGGAGCGGUGCAGCGGGUACAGAUCUUGGUAGUAGUAGCAAUUAUUCAAGUGAGAUCCUUGAA
rnacentral:rRNA from 1 species